CACUGACAAGGUGAAGGUGUCCAAUUGUCCACGUACAUGCCACAGUGACACCCGGUGGCGUGCCUUGCCUUUGAUCGCGAGAGCAAAACGAAGCUUCCGCACAACCGGAGGCCGGCCCGGAGGCCUAAUUGCCACGUACUGUACUGAUGAAUGACAUGACGCCGGCCGAGAGGUCGCUCUACGCGGGAGCUAGCAGCCGGAGCUAGAUGACCUCUCGAUCCGUUGCCUCCACAGCCGUUGCUUCCACAUCUCCACACCUUUGUCUUCAUGGCCGCCACUACUUCCACGCCGUCGUCGUCUCCGUCUCCGUGGCCACCGGCACCUCACCUCCAAACUGUGGCUCAGCAUCUAUCUAGGCCUCCGACACCAUCUUUUGAUUGCUGAUGGCAUCUUCUCCCUUCCACAGACACUGGAGGUUUGUUCACACGGCUGAAACCUGUAGCGUCUAUUUUAUAUGCUGAUGACCGGGUUUUCUACCACCAAGCUGAACAAAGCAAGGAUAGGGUUACCAAUAAAGAUCCUAUUCUUUCUGAUUGGAUUUUAUUGUGCGACGGCCUUUGCUACUGUCAUCUCCUUAUAUGCAUAAAAGUUGUAUGUCAGGUUAAUGUCAUUUUCAGGCUUCAACAUACUUGGGUAAUCUGCUCAGUAAAAUGUAUGGUUAGUCAAUCACAGGGAUGUGGGCAUGUGUUCAUUUGAAUGCUCGGAAUAAUAACUAGCAUUAUGUUUUGCCAUGCUAGAACUGCUUUCAUUAGUUAAUUUAGCCAAGCUAUUUGUAGCAGUUAAUCAAUCAUAAAGCCUAGAACUGCUUUUAUUAGUUAAUUUGGCCAAGCUACUUGUAGCACUUAAUCAAUCAUAAAGCAGUUCUAUAUGUGCCACAAAGCAAUCAGUAAGUUUCUUGGGUCAUUUAUAUUAUGAUUUAUUUGAUCAUUUGCAGGAAAUGCAGCUACUUUUAUCAGCAUGCACAAGUCAAAAAUAGUGCCGAACCAAAUUCUUGCUGGAUAUUAGAUGGUACUCAAUUCAAAUUUUGUAAGAAUUGAACUUCAUUGUAGAAAUUCUGAAAAGUUGUAGCCCUUCUCAAUAUUGUAACCUCUUUUGUUGUCAGUUGUCAUAGACAACUUGUGAGUGUAAAAAGUUGUAAGAACCUAUAUGUGAACACGAUUUUUGUUUUUUUAAAGAAAAUUUAUGUAAGGGUGCCGCAAAGUAUUGCUUAAAUUUUGUUUGUGUACUGCUGGUGAA